rnacentral:rRNA from 1 species
AGGUUAAGCUACAAAGAGCACACGGAGGAUGCCUAGGCGCCAGGAGCCGACGAAGGACGUGGCGAACAACGAUAAGGCCUCGGGGAGCUGUAAGCAAGCUUUGAUCCGGGGAUGUCCGAAUGGGGAAACCCGGCUGUCUUCAUCGACAGUCACUACUCACUGAAUUCAUAGGUGAGUGAGAGGCAGACCAGGGGAACUGAAACAUCUAAGUACCCUGAGGAAGAGAAAACAAUAGUGAUUCCGUCAGUAGCGGCGAGCGAACGCGGAUUAGCCCAAACCAAGGAGCUUGCUCCUUGGGGUUGUGGGACGUCUCACAUGGAGUUACAAAGGAACCGGUUAGAUGAAGAGGUCUGGAAAGGCCCGCCAGAGAAGGUAAAAGCCCUGUAGUUCAAAACCUGUUCCCUCCGAGACGGAUCCCGAGUAGUGCGGGGCACGUGAAACCCCGUAUGAAUCCGGCAGGACCAUCUGCCAAGGCUAAAUACUCCCUGGCGACCGAUAGUGAAGCAGUACCGUGAGGGAAAGGUGAAAAGCACCCCGGAAGGGGAGUGAAAUAGAUCCUGAAACCGUGUGCUUACAAGAAGUCAGAGCCCGAUCUAUGGGUGAUGGCGUGCCUUUUGUAGAAUGAACCGGCGAGUUACGUUCCCGUGCAAGGUUAAGGUGAAGAGCUGAAGCCGCAGCGAAAGCGAGUCUGAAUAGGGCGAAUGAGUACGUGGACGUAGACCCGAAACCGGGUGAUCUACCCCUGUCCAGGGUGAAGGUGCGGUAACACGCACUGGAGGCCCGAACCCACGCAUGUUGAAAAAUGCGGGGAUGAGGUGGGGGUAGCGGA